UUUUCCUACGGGACGCAGCAGUGGGGAAUAUUGGGCAAUGGGCGCAAGCCUGACCCAGCAACGCCGCGUGAAGGAAGAAGGCUUUCGGGUUGUAAACUUCUUUUCUUAGGGACGAAGAAAGUGACGGUACCUAAGGAAUAAGCCACGGCUAACUACGUGCCAGCAGCCGCGGUAAUACGUAGGUGGCAAGCGUUAUCCGGAUUUACUGGGUGUAAAGGGCGUGUAGGCGGGACUGCAAGUCAGAUGUGAAAACCAUGGGCUCAACCUGUGGCCUGCAUUUGAAACUGUAGUUCUUGAGUACUGGG
rnacentral:rRNA from 1 species